rnacentral:rRNA from 1 species
GAGGAAGUAAAUAUUGUUAGGUUACAGUUAAAAAUUUUAAAUAAUUAAGGAUAAUAUUAUUAGGUGAAAUUUUAAUUUUAUUUUAAUGGAGUUAUUUGAAGCUGUGAAAUUUAUUUUAAAAACAAGGAUUAGAUACCCUUUUAUAUUAAAUGUGAAUAAUAACCUGGGUAGUAAUAGUUAUGUUCUUGAAACCCAAAGAAUUUGGCGGUAUUUUAUUCUUUUUAGAGGAACCUGUCCUGUAAUUGAUAGUCCACGAUAGAUAUAUACUUAUUUUUGUAUUCAUUUUGUAUACCUCCGUCAUCAGAGUAUUUUUUUAGAAUUAAUAUUCAAGAAAUUAUAAAAGUAGAAUGUCAGGUCAAGGUGCAAUUUAUAGAUAAGUAGAGAUGGGUUACAAUAAAUUUAUUUAUACGAAUUAAUAUAUUUAUUAAAUAUUAUGAAGGUGGAUUUAAAAGUAAAAUGUGGUCUUUACUAAUUUGAUUUUAGCUCUAAAAUAUGCACACAUCGCCCGUCGCUCUUAUUUUAAAAUAAGAUAAGUCGUAACAUAGUAGGUGUACUGGAAAGUGUACCUAGUAAGGUAAAACGAAUUAGAACUUGAUAGAAAGUAUUUCAUUUACACUGAA